rnacentral:siRNA from 1 species
GCGAUUUGUCUGGUUAAUUCC